rnacentral:rRNA from 1 species
UCAUUAAUGAAAGCUAGAGCGAGGUUGUAGCUGGCCCCCCCGGGGGGCAACGUGCACGCCUUGUCUCCAUCUUCAUCUCUCUCACCCCUGUGCACCUCUGCGUGGGUUCGGAGCGUUGGUUCGCUUCGGGCUUGCGUCAUUUUCUACAACAAACCCCCAUCGUAUGUCUCGGAACGUUUUAUACAAAAAUAAAAAAAAACUUGUACAACUUUCAACAACGGAUCUCUUGGCUCUCGCAUCGAUGAAGAACGCAGCGAAAUGCGAUAAGUAAUGUGAAUUGCAGAAUUCAGUGAAUCAUCGAAUCUUUGAACGCACCUUGCGCCUCUUGGUAUUCCGAGGGGCACGCCUGUUUGAGUAUCGUGAAAUUCUCAACCCAACUCCUUUUGUGAAAAAGGGGUUUUUGGGCUUGGACUUUGGAGGUGUUUGCUGGUCCCCCUUUNNUGUUUGGGAUCGGCUCCUCUUGAAUGCAUUAGUGGAGCUUGUNCUGCUCUCUCUCUGCCCUCUCGGGGNGAUAAUUUAUCUGCGCCGACG